GACGAACGCUAGCGGCGUGCCUAAUACAUGCCAGUAGAACGCCAAGGUUAUACUGUAGAUUCCUCCACCAUAGACUGUGAGUUUCGAACGGGUCAGUAACGCGACCGUAACCUGCCUGGUAGCUGGGGAUAACUAUCGCGAACUAUAGCUAAUAACUCCUAAUAUUACUUUUUGCAUGAUAAUUAAUUUGCAGGGGCAAUUGCACCACUACCAGAUGGACCUUCGUUGUAUUAGCCAGUAGCCGAGGUAACGGCACACCUGGGCGACGAUACAGAGCCGACCGGAGAGGGUGAGCGGCCACACUGGGACUGAGACACGGCCCAGACCCCUACGGGAGGCAGCAGUAGGGAAGAGUAGGCAAGGGAAGAAAGUCUGACCGAGCAACGCCGCGGGAGGGAAGAAGGGGUUCGGAUCGUAAAGCGCGGUUGUAAGAGAAGAACGGGGGUGAGAGUGGAAAGGUCACACUGCGACGGUAUCUGACGAGAAAGGGACGGCUAACUACGUG
rnacentral:rRNA from 1 species